CCCUCACACGAGUUCGCGAUAGUCGUCAGUGCAAAGCUUCACCUUCUACACCUCAAAUACACAUCCAACUAUUUUAACUUUGUUCAUCAUAUUAAUACAUACCUAACAUUCAUUUUACUCACUACUAUUUGACUACAACACAAUUAUACUUAUAAUUAUUGUGACAAUAAUUUAAAUUUCGCAAUACGUGUUUUAAUGUGAAGUAAGAAAUUAUCCCGAUCAAGGUUGUACGAAAGUGAAAAUUUUAAAUGGAAAGCGAAUACAAUUUUCGCAUCCUCACUGUACACUUAUCGUAAUCUUCAUUAUUUACUCAACCGUUUAAAUGUUUAGCGUUCCAUAACAGCAAAAAGUCUUUUUUUAAAUGCCAGCAACUGAUUAUUCCAUUCAUUUCUUCUUGGUCGAUAUCGCAAUGGUGAAUUUUUUGAAUCCUGCUGAGGUACGCAGGUAAUAAAAAUAAUUUAGUGUGAUUAUGAUAUAAACGAAAGUAUUAUAGCAUGUAAAAAAUGUACAAAGAAUCCUUAAGACUCGCUAGACAGCCUUACCUGGCCGCUACUCACGCAGGCUCCGGUCAAGGUCGUACGAUUGGCGUUCUUUUUUGCACGUUCCACACUACACAGUUCUACCUGGUGUCUCAAGUGUACUACACACCCGGUACACAGACGCAUCAGAAGGGGAAUCCUUACAUGGUAACAUGAUAUUAAAUUCACUGAACCCUCAACUGAUAAUAAUACUAAUUGUUGAUUUAUAUUUACACGAGUAUUUUAUUUCCAGGAAC